rnacentral:rRNA from 1 species
UACGUAGGGGGCAAGCGUUAUCCGGAUUUACUGGGUGUAAAGGGAGCGCAGGCGGCAGGGCAAGUCUGAUGUGAAAACCCGGGGCUCAACCCCGGGACUGCAUUGGAAACUGUUCCGCUGGAGUGUCGGAGAGGUAAGUGGAAUUCCUAGUGUAGCGGUGAAAUGCGUAGAUAUUAGGAGGAACACCAGUGGCGAAGGCGGCUUACUGGACGACAACUGACGCUGAGGCUCGAAAGCGUGGGGAGCAAACAGG